rnacentral:rRNA from 1 species
GAAUUCGCCCUUAGAGUUUGAUCCUGGCUCAGGACGAACGCUGGCGGCGCGCCUAACACAUGCAAGUCGAACGAGCGAGAGAGAGCUUGCUUUCUCGAGCGAGUGGCGAACGGGUGAGUAACGCGUGAGGAACCUGCCUCAAAGAGGGGGACAACAGUUGGAAACGACUGCUAAUACCGCAUAAGCCCACAGGUCGGCAUCGACCAGUGGGAAAAGGAGCAAUCCGCUUUGAGAUGGCCUCGCGUCCGAUUAGCUAGAUGGUGAGGUAAUGGCCCACCAAGGCGACGAUCGGUAGCCGGACUGAGAGGUUGAACGGCCACAUUGGGACUGAGACACGGCCCAGACUCCUACGGGAGGCAGCAGUGGGGAAUAUUGCACAAUGGGGGAAACCCUGAUGCAGCGACGCCGCGUGGAGGAAGAAGGUCUUCGGAUUGUAAACUCCUGUUGUUGAGGAAGAUAAUGACGGUACUCAACAAGGAAGUGACGGCUAACUACGUGCCAGCAGCCGCGGUAAAACGUAGGUCACAAGCGUUGUCCGGAAUUACUGGGUGUAAAGGGAGCGCAGGCGGGAAGACAAGUUGGAAGUGAAAUCUAUGGGCUCAACCCAUAAACUGCUUUCAAAACUGUUUUUCUUGAGUAGUGCAGAGGUAGGCGGAAUUCCCGGUGUAGCGGUGGAAUGCGUAGAUAUCGGGAGGAACACCAGUGGCGAAGGCGGCCUACUGGGCACCAACUGACGCUGAGGCUCGAAAGUGUGGGUAGCAAACAGGAUUAGAUACCCUGGUAGUCCACACCGUAAACGAUGAUUACUAGGUGUUGGAGGAUUGACCCCUUCAGUGCCGCAGUUAACACAAUAAAGUAAUCCACCUGGGGAGUACGACCGCAAGGUUGAAACUCAAAGGAAUUGACGGGGGCCCGCACAAGCAGUGGAGUAUGUGGUUUAAUUCGACGCAACGCGAAGAACCUUACCAAGUCUUGACAUCCUGCGACGAUGCUGGAAACAGUAUUUUCCUUCGGGACGCAGAGACAGGUGGUGCAUGGCUGUCGUCAGCUCGUGUCGUGAGAUGUUGGGUUAAGUCCCGCAACGAGCGCAACCCUUACUGUCAGUUGCUACGCAAGAGCACUCUAGCAGGACUGCCGUUGACAAAACGGAGGAAGGUGGGGAUGACGUCAAAUCAUCAUGCCCCUUAUGACCUGGGCCUCACACGUACUACAAUGGCUGUUAACAGAGGGAUGCAAAGCCGCGAGGUGGAGCGAACCCCUAAAAGCAGUCUUAGUUCGGAUUGUAGGCUGCAACCCGCCUACAUGAAGUCGGAAUUGCUAGUAAUCGCGGAUCAGCAUGCCGCGGUGAAUGCGUUCCCGGGCCUUGCACUCACCGCCCGUCA